UUUUCUAUAUUUCUAUUGAGAUAUUUGUGAAAAGAAGUAGGAAUUUUGAUUGAUGGUUAUAUAGUGGUCCGAUCUGACAAAUUGUGAAACUUGAUCUCAAUGAGUUCAAAAAGGCUUAAUCUCCAAGUUUUAUUUUAGUAGUUUUCUAAUUGAGACAGACGGACAUGACUAUAUCGAUUCGGAUUCCCACGCUGAGCAACGCGGCAAUCAAUCAAAUUCUCUCUUUCAUCGAUCGUUCCUAUAGACGCUAUAUGCAUAUAGUAGUUCGGUCUUAAUGAAUUGACACUUGACUGUGUGGUAAACUAUUUUUCGAUAAAAAAAAUUUGAAAAACACGCCUUGUUUAUUCUGUCAAUUUGAACAAAAAGCAAGCAAUACGAAUUUGGGACAUUUAGUUCAGUUUUUUUAGUUUUUUAGGGAAGGCAGACCAGUUAGGAUAGGUCAUUUUUACUUUAAAUUUGUUUUAGAUGUUAUUAGAAGUAAAAAAAAAACAAAAUACAAAAAUGAAGAUCUAAUUUUGGCUUGUUGUGAAAUUCAAAAUUAAAGAGUUGACUUCUUGCAACCUCCAGCGAUGUCCCAUGCUAAGAAUUCCUGGCGACGUACGUAAGCAGCACAGGACGGCUUGCCUUUACAGAAAGAGCCAAUCAAAUGAAUAAUGAAGACAAGGAUGCCCACUUGACAUUGAACAGCCAUUCGAGAGAUGGUCUAUUCGAGGAUCAAAAACAUGGCUCCUUCAUAUGCGGCAAUAAAUAUCGAGGGUCUCCUUAAUUAUCUGGGCAAAAAGGAGGGUUGGGAGAAUAGCAAAGCCUUCCAUUCUCUGGCCGACAAAGGACCCUUCUCAACUAUUGCUGACUAUUGUGACUAUUAUGGUUACAGUUCCGGAAAAUCAGAAGCGCAUGGAUAUUGAAGACGAGGCGGUACCUGAAUUGAGUGAUGGAAUAUCAACUGCUCUUCAGAAAUCUGACCAAAAAUUGCAUCAUGUGGUUAGCGAGCAGCGUGAGCCAACGGCUCCUAAGGCACCCAAUCUACAUCUAAUGAAGUGGGUCUAGUCCGAAAAGCAGGAAGUGGGUCUAGUCCGAAAAGCAGAAGCAUUGUGGAGCUCAGAUUUAGAUACAUUGGACGACCGACGAGCCAGUCUAUUCCAGUUUUAUAAUCGCCGUUUGUUAGAAGCAAAAACCAAAAAACUUGCAGUUUAAAUAAAAAGCCACGCAAGCCAUUUAGACACUUCAAAGUCAA